rnacentral:rRNA from 1 species
AAACGUAGGUGGCGAGCGUUGUUCGGAAUUAUUGGGCGUAAAGCGCGUGUAGGCGGUUUGUUAAGUCUGAUGUGAAAGCCCCGGGCUCAACCUGGGAAGUGCAUUGGAUACUGGCAGACUUGAAUACGGGAGAGGGCAGCGGAAUUCCUGGUGUAGGAGUGAAAUCCGUAGAUAUCAGGAGGAACACCGGUGGCGAAGGCGGCCCCCUGGACAAAGACUGACGCUCAGGUGCGAAAGCGUGGGGAGC